UACAGAGGGGGCGAGCGUUGUUCGGAAUUACUGGGCGUAAAGGGCGCGUAGGCGGCCUUCUAAGUCGAACGUGAAAUCCCCGGGCUCAACCCGGGAACUGCGUCCGAUACUGGGAGGCUUGAAUCCGGGAGAGGGAUGUGGAAUUCCAGGUGUAGCGGUGAAAUGCUUAGAUAUCGUCCAGAACACCGAUAGCGAAGGCAGCAUACUAAGGAGUAACUGACGCUGAGGCACGAAAGUGUGGGGAUCAAACAGG
rnacentral:rRNA from 1 species